GCCUCUGUGCGCUAACGGUAAAGCGCCAGCGCUUAAAACGCUGGGAUUGGGAGUUCGAGUCUCUCCAGAGGCACCA
rnacentral:tRNA from 4 species